UCAAAACACGACUUGAAGCACGUGGUUACCCAAAAAGCCUAAUUGAAAAAACGUUAUCUGAGGUCUCGUUUGCCGCAAGGCGGUCGACACUUAAAAAACAAACCAAAAAAACUAAAGGCAAAAUAUUGCCUUUUGUGACAGCAUACCACCCAGGGGUUAAAAAAUUUAAAACAAAUACUUAUGCAAGAAUGGAACCUCAUCCAAAAUCAGCCACUGCUGAAAACAAUUUACAAAACGCCUCCGAUUAUAUCAUACAAAAGAGGUAAAUCGCUCAAAGACAUACUCGUCAGAGCGAAGCUUUAAUUAAAGGCUUUUGCGUCGCAAACGUAAAACCACACAGGGGAGUCUGUGUAGGCCUGUCUAUGACCUCUUCAAAUGUAGCGUUGCAGUCGUGUCUUCCGUUGUGGUUAUGUCCUCACACAUUAUAACCAAUAGAAUGCAGUUUUACUUCUUCCAAUCAAAGUGCGUUGUGAUCGUGUCUUCUGCGUGUCACUUCCCAACUAGGGGAGGGAUGCAAAGCAAAAGUGUAAAAAGAUCGUUAAGAUUUCCGCGCUCGAAGUUUGAGAAUUUCACUGGCUAUCCUUCACACCUUUUGGGACGCUUCGGAUUGGUGAAAGAGUAAGAUUCUGGUUGCGUUUUUAAGUGCGAGGUAUUUGGGAAAUUUCCUUCCAUACGUUGGAAAGCCUAGGAAGACGAGAAUUUGACAUUGCUUCAUGGCUUUCCUUACUUUUCUGUUGGAGCUAGUACAAUAAGGCAUGGAUGAGAACCAGCAGCAAAGCAAAGUAAACAAAAGUGCAGAUGAAAGCCACUUGAGUCUGUAAAUGGAAAGAAAACACUGAAAAAUGAUG